rnacentral:pre_miRNA from 1 species
AUAAGAUUCAGACCGUCGAUCUACCGAGCAAUAUCAUUCGCUCGGCGGAAGAUCUUCCAUUCCUAUU